UUGCACUAGUGCUCCAGG
rnacentral:misc_RNA from 1 species